ensembl:snRNA U6 U6 spliceosomal RNA
GCGCUGGCUUCCACAGCGCAGAUACUAAAGUUGGAAUGCUACAGAGACGAGUAUGCCCCCUGUGCAAGGAUGACACACAAAUUUUCUGAAGCGUUCCCUAUUAAA